UUUGUCUUCUGUAAAAUGUAACAAGCAAUAACUACCUCUUAGGGAUGUAUAGAGAGAAUUCCCACAGGAGAGAGAUGGCAUAUUUCAAAUUGAGACUAUUCGAUCCACGGGCUGGUCAUCAAGAUGGAGCAGGGUAUAGAGAAGUCAUUAGGGAUGAUACAGAACAGCACCAAAGGAGCUCCUUCUGGGAUUCUCUAUUGGCUGAAUUCAGCCAGAAGCUGCCAAGGGAGACCCCCACAACUGGAUGCAGCCCACUGAAGUCAGCUUCCUGGGGUGCAUAGCUGAAGGUAGCAGGGAGCAAAAAGAAUCUGAAGGGGCAAGUGAACAAUGUAGAGCGUAUCUGUGCUGAAGACAUAAGGAGAGAGUGGAGGUCAGAAGCUGGCACGGUCCCUGGUGCACGUGUCAGCCGCUAAAGAAGUGGAGAGUAUGAACAUAAGCAAGAGGAAGUGAUGAGUAUCCCUUCCAGGAGAACUCUAAGAGGCAGUGAGUGAUUUGCUGGGCUCCCAAGCCCUCUGCUCUGAUGACAGCAAAGCCCCAAAUCAUGAUGCCUCCAUCAGUCGGGACCCCUCAGCAGAGCCAGCUUCACAGCUGGAGUGGAUGAAUCAGAACUUUCCCCAUGGGAGCAUUUAUAAAAAGGGGACACCCAGCGCAGAAGAUGUUUUCCAGGGAGAUCUCGGGGAGCCCAACAAGCCAAGAAGAGCAGAGCAAAGCAUUCCAAGGAAGGACUCUAAGUCUGCAACAGAGCACACACGAGGGUAGCCUACGCAUGUACGUCUUGCAGUGAUGGCAAGGAGCAGGAGAAAGAAAGCCCAUCCAAACAAGCAUAUUGGAAGCCUAUGUAUCCCAUAAGCUGACAUCUUGUUGCCCAAAGCAUGUCAUGUGCGUGGUCCAGAGUCAGUGUUGAAGGGCUCUGCAAAAUCACAUGGUAAAGACUGUGGUUUCAGGGAGGAGUGAAGAUUUGUGCGCAUUGCUCCAAUUGACAACCAUGGCACUAGGCUCAGGCCACACUUCUUCCUAACAAGACAGCAAGUCAAAGCGUGGUUAGUUAAAGUCCAUACAAAAACUCACUUUAACAGGCCUCCUCUGGAUUGAACAGCUGAUAUUAAGUCAUAAGGUACCACAUCAGAAAGAUACUGGGUAUCUUUGGUUCAGCAAUUCCAUCACCAGGGACUUUUUCAUCCUAAGGAAAUCACUGCUCGGUGGACAAAGAUAUAUGCAUAAGGAUGCUCCUUCUGGCCAAAGACCAAAAACAUAAAUGGCCAUCAGUAAAAGCCAAGUGAGUAAACUAUGGUCUGUAUAUGCAAUGAUCAAAGAAAUAAAGGAAAAUAU